AUUGAACGCUGGCGGCAUGCUUUACACAUGCCAGUCGGACGGCAGCACAGAGAAGCUUGCUUCUUGGGUGGCGAGUGGCGAACGGGUGAGUAAUAUAUCGGAACGUACCGAGUAAUGGGGGAUAACUAAUCGAAAGAUUAGCUAAUACCGCAUAUUCUCUGAGGAGGAAAGCAGGGGACCUUCGGGCCUUGCGUUAUUCGAACGGCCGAUAUCUGAUUAGCUAGUUGGUGGGGUAAAGGCCUACCAGGGCGACGAUCAGUAGCGGGUCUGAGAGGAUGAUCCGCCACACUGGGACUGAGACACGGCCCAGACUCCUACGGGAGGCAGCAGUGGGGAAUUUUGGACAAUGGGCGCAAGCCUGAUCCAGCCAUGCCGCGUGUCUGAAGAAGGCCUUCGGGUUGUAAAGGACUUUUGUCAGGGAAGAAAAGGCUGUUGCUAAUAUCGACAGCUGAUGACGGUACCUGAAGAAUAAGCACCGGCUAACUACGUG
rnacentral:rRNA from 1 species